rnacentral:lncRNA from 1 species
AGAAAAUUACAUAUUUUAUAUUUGAUCAGCAACCUGCUUGGAUCAUCAAGAAAAUAGCUUAGCUUGCCCAGAAGACAUGUAAAUUGCUAGACGUGUUCGAAUUAUUAUCUACAUGAAUCUAGACGUGUUGUUGAGGAAUAUAUGAAAAUGGUACAUAGUAAAAGUCAUAAUUCUGUCCCAAUUAUCAACUUUUUGUACUUCACAUACAAAUUUAAUUGAUAAGAAAUAAACUAAUCAAGGCAGCCAAUUUUUUUUACCGAAAAGUCUGUCGGUUAAUGUUCUCUUCAUCCACCAUGACCUACUCUGUUUUCCUGCAAAAUCCACAACAACAAAACUAAUCUUUGUUUCUAUGAUGCAUGACAUUGAAUAGAUAGCACAAAUGGUCAACCGAAUAGUCAUCUCACGAUCCAAGUAGCCAAGCCCUUCUUCCAUCUCCUCCCG